rnacentral:rRNA from 1 species
AUUGAACGCUGGCGGCAUGCCUUACACAUGCAAGUCGAACGGCAGCACGGGGCAACCUGGUGGCGAGUGGCGAACGGGUGAGUAAUGCAUCGGAACGUACCUUUCAGUGGGGGAUAACGUAGCGAAAGUUACGCUAAUACCGCAUAUUCUGUGAGCAGGAAAGCAGGGGAUCGCAAGACCUUGCGCUGAUUGAGCGGCCGAUGGCAGAUUAGCUAGUUGGUGAGGUAAAGGCUCACCAAGGCGACGAUCUGUAGCGGGUCUGAGAGGAUGAUCCGCCACACUGGAACUGAGACACGGUCCAGACUCCUACGGGAGGCAGCAGUGGGGAAUUUUGGACAAUGGGGGCAACCCUGAUCCAGCCAUGCCGCGUGAGCGAAGAAGGCCUUCGGGUUGUAAAGCUCUUUCGGCCGGGAAGAAAUCGCACGGGCUAAUACCCUGUGUGGAUGACGGUACCGGAAUAAGAAGCACCGGCUAACUACGUGCCAGCAGCCGCAGUAAUAC